AUUGAACGCUGGCGGCAGGCCUAACACAUGCAAGUCGAGCGAGCGGCGGACGGGUGCGUAAUUUAUUGGCACCUGCCUGAUCGACCGGUCUAACUACUGUAACCGUUGGCUACUACCGCAUACUAUCGUAUCAACCCAUAUGGGAUUAGCUAGUAGGUGGGGUAAAGGCUCACCUAGGCGACGAUCCCUAGCUGGUCUGAGAGGAUGAUCAGCCACACUGGGACUGAGACACGGCCCAGACUCCUACGGGAGGCAGCAGUGGGGAAUAUUGCACAAUGGGCGCAAGCCUGAUGCAGCCAUGCCGCGUGAAUGAAGAAGGCCUUAGGGUUGUAAAGUACUGUCAGCGGGGAGGCGGUAUCCGAAGAAGAAGCACCGGCUAACUCCGUGCCAGCAGCCGCGGUAAUUC
rnacentral:rRNA from 1 species